rnacentral:rRNA from 1 species
AUUGAACGCUGGCGGCAUGCCUUACACAUGCAAGUCGAACGGCAGCACGGGUACUUGCACCUGGUGGUGAUUGGCGAACGGGUGAGUAAUACAUCUGAACAUGUCCUGUAUUGGGCGAUAGCCAGGCCGAAGCCGGAUUAAUACCGCAUACGAACUCCGGAUGAAAGCGGGGGCCCUUCGGGCCUCGCGCUAUACGGUUGGCCGAUGCCUGAUUAGCUAGUUGGUGGGGUAAAGGCCUACCAAGGCGACGAUCAGUAGCUGGUCUGAGAGGAUGACCAGCCACACUGGGACUGAGACACGGCCCAGACUCCUACGGGAGGCAGCAGUGGGGAAUUUUGGACAAUGGGCGAAAGCCUGAUCCAGCAAUGCCGCGUGUGUGAAGAAGGCCUUCGGGUUGUAAAGCACUUUUGUCCGGAAAGAAAACCUUGGCACGAAUACGGUCGUGUGAUGACGGUACCGGAAGAAUAAGCACCGGCUAACUACGUG